rnacentral:tRNA from 1 species
CCGGGUGUAGCGCAGUCUGGUCAGCGCAUCUGUUUUGGGUACAGAGGGCCAUAGGUUUGAAUCCUGUCACCUUGA